rnacentral:rRNA from 1 species
AACAAACGCUGGCGGCGCGUUUUAAGCAUGCAAGUCGGACGGCAAGAGCUGUAGCAAUAUGGCUCCUAGAGUGGCGAACGGGUGAGUAACACGUAGGUGAUCUGCCCUUGGAUGGGGGAUAGUCCGUGGAAACACGGGGUAAUACCGCAUGAGGCCUUGUGGGUAGAGCCAUGAGGUGAAAGGUGCAAUUGCACCGUCUGGGGAUGAGCCUGCGGUCCGUUAGGUAGUUGGCGGGGUAAGGGCCCACCAAGCCUACGAUGGAUAGCCGGCCUGAGAGGGUGUACGGCCACACUGGAACUGAGACACGGUCCAGACUCCUACGGGAGGCAGCAGCUAAGAAUCUUCCGCAAUGGGGGAAACCCUGACGGAGCGACGCCGCGUGGACGAUGGAGGCCGUAAGGUUGUAAAGUCCUUUUCCUGGUGAAGAAUGACCGUGGGAGUGGAAAGCCCAUGGGAUGACGUUAGCCAGGGAAUAAGCCCCGGCCAAUUACGUGCCAGCAGCCGCCGUAAAAC